CCAACACACACACACACACACACACUCCUUCUCUGCUUGUUAGAGACGAAUAAGUCGUGUUUUUCGCCAACCUGCGGAAUCAGCUCCGGCGCGGGACGAAAAAAGUGCUUGACGGGGUCAAGGUCGCAUCAUACUGCAAGGUAGCAGCCAAAGAGCAAAAAUGGGCAGAAAUGAAGACCUGAAGUGGGGCGCUGGAAUAUUUCCGAACCCAUUUCUCUCACAUUGGGUGGAUGGACAACUUGAAUCCCAAAAGAUUAUGGAUGAGAAAAGAAGAUGGGUAGAACAGGGAAAAAAAACUGCUGGCGGUGGAUUCCCUGAGAGGCGGAGACCUGCGGAAUUGAGUUCAACUAUACUGAAUUAAAUAAAACCAACCCAGAUGACAGAACUGUUUGCCUGUUUAUUGUGUAUGACACAAAUUGCAAUGAAAAGUGUUUGUAUGAGCCAUUUGUGUUUGAAUAAAAUAAAAACA